CUUGCUUGAUGUAAACAACUGCCCAAGAAAGGGAUCUCCCAGUCUCUACAAUAUCUGCUGGAUAUAACUUUGAAAUCCAUGACCAUGCUUUAAAAUAAUAAGCUGGACACUAAAUACAUAAGGGGAAUCAAAGUUCUCAUUUCCAGGCCGUAGCUAUCCAAGAGAGGUGACCAUGCUUUAAAAUAAUAAGCUGGACACUAAAUACAUAAGGAGAAUCAAAGUUCUCAUUUCCAGGCC
rnacentral:lncRNA from 1 species